rnacentral:rRNA from 1 species
CGUACACUCCUGCGGGAGGCAGCAGUGGGGAAUAUUAGACAAUGGGCGCAAGCCUGAUCCAGCCAUGCCGCGUGAGUGAUGAAGGCCCUAGGGUUGUAAAGCUCUUUCACCGGUGAAGAUAAUGACGGUAACCGGAGAAGAAGCCCCGGCUAACUUCGUGCCAGCAGCCGCGGUAAUACGAAGGGGGCUAGCGUUGUUCGGAUUUACUGGGCGUAAAGCGCACGUAGGCGGACUAUUAAGUCAGGGGUGAAAUCCCGGGGCUCAACCCCGGAACUGCCUUUGAUACUGGUAGUCUUGAGUUCGAGAGAGGUGAGUGGAAUUCCGAGUGUAGAGGUGAAAUUCGUAGAUAUUCGGAGGAACACCAGUGGCGAAGGCGGCUCACUGGCUCGAUACUGACGCUGAGGUGCGAAAGCGUGGGGAGCAAACAGGAUUAGAAACCCCGGUAGUCCCAU